rnacentral:rRNA from 1 species
UACGAAGGGGCUAGCGUUGCUCGGAAUUACUGGGCGUAAAGCGCACGUAGGCGGCUUUCUAAGUCGGGGUGAAAUCCUGGAGCUCAACUCCAGAACUGCCUUCGAUACUGGAGAGCUCGAGUCCGGGAGAGGUGAGUGGAACUGCGAGUGUAGAGGUGAAAUUCGUAGAUAUUCGCAAGAACACCAGUGGCGAAGGCGGCUCACUGGCCCGGUACUGACGCUGAGGUGCGAAAGCGUGGGAGCAAACAGG